GCCUGGGAUAGCUCAGUUGGUAGAGCACAGGAUUCUUAUUCUCAGGUUGUGGGUUCGAGCCCCUUGUUUGGCA